GCACAGCAACGGGUGGAGCGGCGGUUUAAUUGGAUUCAACGCCGGAAAUCUCACCGGAGGCGACGGUUAUAUGAAGGCCAGGCUGGUGACCUUGCCUGAUUUUCCGAGAAGUGGUGCAUGGCCGUCGUCAGUUCGUACCGUGAGGCGUUCUGUUAAGUCAGACAACGAACGAGACCCUCAUCUUUAGUUGCUACUGGUAAGUCCGCUUAUCAGGCACACUAAAGAAACCGCUGGCGAUAAGUCAGAGGAAGGUGAGGGCAACGGUAGGUCAGUAUGCCCUGAAUCCUCCGGGCUACACGCGCGCUACAAAGGCUAGGACAAUGGGUCUCAACACCGAAAGGUGACGGUAAUCCCGAAACCUAGUCACAGUUCGGAUUGAGGGUUGAAACUCACCCUCAUGAAGCUGGAAUCCGUAGUAAUCGCGGAUCAACAUCCCGCGGUGAAUAUGCCCCUGCUCCUUGCACACACCGCCCGUCAAACCAUGCGAGUUGGGCCUGAGUGAGGAUAUAGUCUUUGCUAUGUUCGAACUUAGACUUAGUAAGCGGGGUU
rnacentral:rRNA from 1 species